UACAGAGGUCUCAAGCGUUGUUCGGAUUCAUUGGGCGUAAAGGGUGCGUAGGUGGCGGGGCAAGUUUGGUGUGGAAUCUCCGAGCUUAACUCGGAACGGUCAACUGAUACUGUGCGGCUAGAGUGCGGAAGGGGCAACUGGAAUUCUUGGUGUAGCGGUGAAAUGCGUAGAUAUCAAGAGGAACACCUGCGGCGAAGGCGGGUUGCUGGGCCGACACUGACGCUGAGGCGCGAAAGCCAGGGGAGCGAACGGG
rnacentral:rRNA from 1 species